CAGUCGCCACGGGAAUACGUAGGUGGCAAGCGUUGUCCGGAAUUAUUGGGCGUAAAGGGCUCGCAGGCGGUUUCUUAAGUCUGAUGUGAAAGCCCCCGGCUCAACCGGGGAGGGUCAUUGGAAACUGGGAAACUUGAGUGCAGAAGAGGAGAGUGGAAUUCCACGUGUAGCGGUGAAAUGCGUAGAGAUGUGGAGGAACACCAGUGGCGAAGGCGACUCUCUGGUCUGUAACUGACGCCGAGGAGCGAAAGCGUGGGGAGCGAACAGGAUUAGAUACCCCAGUAGUCCCUGUCUCUUAUAC
rnacentral:rRNA from 1 species